rnacentral:rRNA from 1 species
CCUACGGGGGACAGCAGUGAGGAAUAUUGGUCAAUGGACGAGAGUCUGAACCAGCCAAGUAGCGUGAAGGAUGACUGCCCUAUGGGUUGUAAACUUCUUUUAUAUGGGAAUAAAAUGUUCCACGUGUGGGAUUUUGUAUGUACCAUAUGAAUAAGGAUCGGCUAACUCCGUGCCAGCAGCCGCGGUAAUACGGAGGAUCCGAGCGUUAUCCGGAUUUAUUGGGUUUAAAGGGAGCGUAGGUGGAUUGUUAAGUCAGUUGUGAAAGUUUGCGGCUCAACCGUAAAAUUGCAGUGGAAACUGGCAGUCUUGAGUACAGUAGAGGUGGGCGGAAUUCGUGGUGUAGCGGUGAAAUGCUUAGAUAUCACGAAGAACUCCGAUUGCGAAGGCAGUUCACUGGACUGCAACUGACACUGAGGCUCGAAAGUGUGGGUAUCAAACAGGAUUAGAUACCCUUGUAGUC